AGUAUGGAAUAAAUGUAAAUAAUUAAACCUUCCAGUAAUCUUGAGCACUUACUUUUCUGAAGUUAGUGAGGCUUAAACUGCAUCAAAAUUUUGAGGACAUGCUACACACACACACACACACACACACACACACACAUCUUUUGACAAACAAAUCUAGUGAUUUCAAAUUGAAAAAUAAAGUAUUUUUUCCUUUUAUUUCAAUAUUUCAUAAAACUUUGACCCUACUUCUUCUUACCCCACCUAAAAAACAGUCUCUGUUCUCUAUAUAAAUUCCCUAAUAGGUAUACAAAUCCCUUCUCAGUAAGUUGGGGUGCUAUACCAGAAAUACCAGAGUGGUAACAAAACACAUGCAUUUCUCACAGUUCUAGAGGCUGGGAAGUCCAAAAUCAAGACAUUGGCAGACUCGGUAUUGGUUGAGACCCAGUUACACAGAGAGGGACAGUCCCCAUCCUCAUCACUGACCCUGGGAUGAGCCACAUGGGGACAGCUGUUUUCAGGAUUCCAAAAAGCAUGAAGAACAGAGUCUCGGUCAAAAUCCAUUUAAACUGCAUUUAAAAUACCAGCUGGCUGUCAAACUAGGCUUUCUAAUACCGAAAAAUAUAACUCUUCAAUAACAGCCAAAUGCCUCUGCCUGAGGUGCUUUCAAGAGGCGAGGAAGAAAAACCUCUAAAGAACAGCAUUAGUUAUCGAUACAUUUCCCCUAUGUCCUCCUUCAAAAUGAAUGCCCACCGUUGGCAUGGGUGCCAAAGCGAAGACUGCGCCACCUUGGAAUCGUCCUUCUCCGUCAGUACUCAGUCUUUCAGUGCAUCACCAAACAGUCAGUCAGCGCUGAUAUUACAGUUCCUAUAUAGUUCUCAAAUACUUCUACUUUUCUGCAUCUUUUCUGAAACUACCCUUCUCCAAGAAACCAACUAAAUAACUGGAUGAGCUUACCGAUCU
rnacentral:lncRNA from 1 species